UAGGGAAUAUUGGACAAUGGGGGCAACCCUGAUCCAGCCAUGCCGCGUGAGUGAAGAAGGCCCUCGGGUUGUAAAGCUCUUUUGUCCGGAAAGAAAAGCUUCGGGUUAAUACCCCGGGGUUCUGACGGUACCGGAAGAAUAAGCACCGGCUAACUUCGUGCCAGCAGCCGCGGUAAUACGUAGGGUGCGAGCGUUAAUCGGAAUUACUGGGCGUAAAGCGUGCGCAGGCGGUUUUGUAAGACAGAGGUGAAAUCCCCGGGCUCAACCUGGGAACUGCCUUUGNGACUGCAAGGCUGGAGUGCGGCAGAGGGGGAUGGAAUUCCGCGUGUAGCAGUGAAAUGCGUAGAUAUGCGGAGGAACACCGAUGGCGAAGGCAAUCCCCUGGGCCUGCACUGACGCUCAUGCACGAAAGCGUGGGGAGCAAACA
rnacentral:rRNA from 1 species